GUUGAAGUGUGAAGCACGUUGCCCUUCCCCACCACCGUCUCUUCUAGUUGAGACAAAAGAAAACCCCUAUAUGUGUUUCAAAAAUUGUGAAGAAGAGUGCCAAAUACAUGAUCACGCAUGCCAGUUGAAGUGUGAAGCACUUUGCCUUUCCCCACCACCGUCUCUUCUAGUUGAGACAAAAGAAAACCCCUAUAUGUGUUUCAAAAAUUGUGAAGAAGAGUGCCAAAUACAUGAUCACGCAUGCCAGUUGAAGUGUGAAGCACUUUGCCUUUCCCCACCACCGUCUCUCUCAGCGGAUGAAGCAGUCAUGGCGCCAGAAGAAGGUAAAAGCGAUAUGUGCUACCGAGAUUGUAGCAACAAAUGGGGCCUUGACUCAGCUCGUAUGGAACGUUGUUUGAAGACCUGCCCCACGAGUGCUACUCUUUUUUAGUUGAGAAAUUGCCAAAAAUACCACUUUCAUGAUACCACUUUUCAAUUAUACACUAACCAACUAUACCACUAAAUUUUUAAUGAUCAAAAUACCAUUAUACCCCUGACUAAUAAACCUAUUCUCUCUCCCACGAUCUCUUCUUCACCGUGUUCUCCUAGCUCUUCUUCACCGUGUUCGCCUAGCUCGACAUUUCCGGCGAGAUUGGACCAGUCCGGUGAGAACCGUCGUCUUCUCGAUCCAUCAUCCUAGCUACCGGAUCUUUGAUUACAUUUCCGAUUACUUGAUCCUCUCGCGCGGAUUGGUGAUCCACUUCGGGAAUCUGGUGCAUCUCGAGGACUUGAUCGCGAAGCUAGGGUUUCAGAUCCCCGAACAGCUCAAUCAGAUCGUGAAUGGAGAUCGUCGAUUCGUUACGCAAUUCGAACCGCGUAGACUCCUAUCGAUCUUCGCUUUUGUCUUCUCAGGUUUUGUCCUUCAAAUUUUCUCUGUUUUAAUCUAAAAACUUACAUUAGAAACUAAAAAAAUUUGAUGUGUUAAGGUUUUGGAUCCUCUGAGAACUAUGGUUGCUGGUUCUCCUCUUGAAAAUGCUCGUCAUUUAGCUCAACAUUACAGAUUGCUUUCUUUUUGGGGUUGCAGAUAAGCCACGAAGCUCCAGUGACAGGAGGCUUUGGAAUACCACAACAAUCCUCGAACGUU